rnacentral:rRNA from 1 species
CCGCGGGAUUAGAGUUUGAUCAUGGCUCAGAUUGAACGCUGGCGGCAGGCCUAACACAUGCAAGUCGAGCGGAAACGAGUUGUUUGAACCUUCGGGGGACGACAACGGCGUCGAGCGGCGGACGGGUGAGUAAUGCCUGGGAAAUUGCCCUGAUGUGGGGGAUAACCAUUGGAAACGAUGGCUAAUACCGCAUGAUAGCUUCGGCUCAAAGAGGGGGACCUUCGGGCCUCUCGCGUCAGGAUAUGCCCAGGUGGGAUUAGCUAGUUGGUGAGGUAAGGGCUCACCAAGGCGACGAUCCCUAGCUGGUCUGAGAGGAUGAUCAGCCACACUGGAUCUGAGACACGGUCCAGACUCCUACGGGAGGCAGCAGUGGGGAAUAUUGCACAAUGGGCGCAAGCCUGAUGCAGCCAUGCCGCGUGUAUGAAGAAGGCCUUCGGGUUGUAAAGUACUUUCAGCAGUGAGGAAGAUGGUGUGUUUAAUACGCGCAUCAUUUGACGUUAGCUGCGGAAGAAGCACCGGCUAACUCCGUGCCAGCAGCCGCGGUAAUACGGAGGGUGCGAGCGUUAAUCGGAAUUACUGGGCGUAAAGCGCAUGCAGGUGGUUUGUUAAGUCAGAUGUGAAAGCCCGGGGCUCAACCUCGGAACAGCAUUUUGAACUGGCAGACUAGAGUACUGUAGAGGGGGGUAGAAUUUCA